UACACGUUGAAGCCUCAAACGGACACAUUACUCUUCGUGGGCGGCUAUUCCUGAGAAAUAUUACGAACAAACGGCUAACAAUAAAAAUAAUAGUUUCUGAAAGAAUAGUAAGGCACGAUCCAAAAGAUUUAAUUUGAAGAAUAUUCAUGGAUACAGUAUUCGCAAAAGAGAAAUAAGAAAAGGUUUGUUAGAUUUUCGAAAUAGACGCACAAAAAUCAUUUCAACUCAUUUCAAAUAAUUUUUUCAAGAUAUAAGAUCUGGUAGCAUUGCAUCGUUGAUACACGAUCUGCGAUAAAUGGAGGAUGUGAUAAGAGCCAAAACGACUAGAUGGAGGUGGGGAUUUUUCACACUCAAAGACGAUGUGGCAAUAUGUAGUAUUUGUAAUAAAAAUUUCUCAAUUACAUUCCUAUCUAAUGCAAACCAACAUUUAAAAACAAAACAUUCGCUUUCUCUUAAAUUAAAAAAAGGAAGGAUCACAGAAGAUGAAAAAUGGAAUGCACUUUCUGAAUAUUUUGAUUUAGAAAACGGUUAUUUAAAAUGCAAAUAUCAAGCUUGUAACAAACUUAUUACUGGACGUUACACCAAAUUAUUUAAUCACUUAGAUUCUGAGCAUAUGGUUAAUCCUGAUAUGGUGAAGAAACUCGAGCAAUGGGUAAGACCAUUGUUUAAUUUUGAAAAAAGUAACCGUAAUAAUUGCGAGUGUUAUCUUUGCGGUAUGGAAAUUAGGAAUUUUAAUACUUACAUUCUUGUAACGCAUAUGACCGAAAUUCAUAACACUACCACAAUACGUUUAGAGACAAUGGCCCAGAAAUAAUGAAGAUAAUUAAAAGGAAACAAUGCAGCACAUCUCAUUCAUGCAAUAAUAUAAUCUGUCAAAGAACAGAAAAUGAAAAGAGAAUCGUGUCAGAAGAAAAUCACCGCUUAAUCGACAGUCGCUGCUGCAUCGGAUUUUGUUUAACAAAACAUAUCAUGUUUGUCUAUUCGUUUAUCAACGGAUGCAUCUAACAGUACGAAAUUAAGGAAAAAUUCAGCGAUGAUUAAUUUGCAUAAUCGUUGAAUCAUCUCGCUUCUACGGAUCUUAUUCUUGCGAGAAACUCGGUCACAAAAUCGGAGAAUAUCAUUUAGUGUUCGAAAAAGAAAUCCAGAAAAGUCGUGAGCAAACAUCUACGCAUAUAUAUAUAUAUAUAUAUAUAGUUAUUAAAAUCAUUACGCUCCUUAAGUUAUUUAAACGAAUAUACCCGAAUGUUUUCUGAAUUUUUACGAAAUUUCGCAGAAAUCUUCCGACCUUAAAAAUAGAGAUAUUAGAAGAGUUUCUUAAAGCAUUUCGAUUAAAAUUUACUUCAUGUUUCUAAGUUGGAUAGGGGUUAAUCAAUUUUAAAAUUUAUCAAUUUUAAAGCUCGUUACAGCUGAAGACUAUAGAACUCAAAAUUACGUUAACGUAUUCGGAGCACUAAAUGGUGGAAUUAUUAAUCUAUCCCGGAAAUGGCGCGAACAUAGCACGGUUAACGCACGCUUGACAAUAUAAUGGGAUUACUACAAAUAAACUUUUAGUUUCCAGUUUCUCAUCUCAUCUUUUUCACAAAAUGAAUUUAGAUGAUCUUGAGAAAUACUCCUUUGAAUCUUUGACUAAUAAAUACAUUUUCUAGACUUUGCAACGCAACGAUUGUAAAAAAACAUUUUUUUGAUAAUAUUAAUACAAAAUUAUUAAAUACUUGAAUAAAAAAAUGUCAGCUCAAAACAAAAUUUCUUUCUUAGUUUUGCGAAUCUCUUCUAAUUUUAGAGAGCUGCAGGCGGAACGGUGUGCAUAAACACAUUAUCUUAUCCAGCAUCAAAGGUACAAAUUCUGUUAAAAACUAUAUUAAUUGCUUUGUUAUUCAAGCAGUUCUUUUUAAGUUUAAAGGAAAAGAAAAUUGGUGUUUUGAAAAAAAGUUCUGUUUCUUUUUAAUUCAUCUUUUUUUUUGUUUAUAAACAAGACAAAAAAGUGGAGAGAUUUAAUACAAGCUUGGUUAACAAAUACGGAAUUUUAUUAUGAACUCGCAUGCAAAAUUUGAAGUCAAUCUGUCGGACAUAGCAUGAAGUUUUCAUGCACAUCGUGCAUGAAAAUAUAAAUCUGCAAAUAUGCGCAUAACAAUAAAACAAAAUUUUUUAAAUUGAAAGUUUUUAUUUAAAUAUAUUUAAGUACAUUUAAUGAUAAUGUAGAAAAAUCGAUUUAUCAAAUCAUUGCGCUGCAGAAAAUCUAGAAAUAAUUCUCGAUAUUUUAACAGAGUUCAAAUGACUCCUUAAAAGAAUAGAAUCAAAUAUAUUCUAUUAAACGAUAUUCGACUUUACACAGUUCACGGCGAUAAUCGUGCUAUUUCUUCAUUAUGUGCGUCUAAUGACGCAUUUAAUUUUGGAUAUCUCGCCAGACGUACGCGUAUACGCGGGAUAGAUAUUUUUUGUACAAAAUAUCUGAUGGCGUUAUGAAAAUCUAUUACAUUGAAAUUACUAGAAGUUAAUAAUGCGCCUAUAUCUAAGGUAUCAUCAACGUAUAUAAUAUGAAGUUUUCGGUGUAUGAUAAGUGGGAUAUAAUACGCUGACAUUUUAUUGCCGUAUGAGUUUUGACAUUGUAAUAAAAUAAUUAUCGUAUUUCACAUGGCGUCGCAUUUUAAUUCUUCUAUACAAAUAUCGACGUUAUAUGUGUAUACGCGAUUGUAACGCGACAAGCUUUUAUCCUAAUAUCAAUAAUAGCAAUUAACGAUGCAUGCAAAUAUUUCUUGAAUAUUUACAGAAAUAUAUGCAGCUAAUCUAUUUACUCAUAACGACAUGGAAUUUUUACAUGUACAAAUGUAAUAUGUAUAUAAUUCAAUAUAUGAUAACAUUAACCUUAUAUUAUACAUUAAAACUGUUAUAUUGCAUCACUCGCAUCGUAAUACCGCUAGUGACCAUGCGAGCGGAAGUGACAACAAAAAUUUCUUCACAAGAAAAUUGUAUCUAGACGAGACAUUACGUAACGCGUGCGUCUAUUAGCAUUAUAUAUUAUAAAUAUGAUUAUUAUAAAUAUGACAAUUAUAUUUCUCCUUGCAAAAGUUGGGAAUUUUUUCCUCCGCGAUUGCAUUGCAUUGCAUGUUUAUAUUCCCGUUCCAGACGCGCCUGCAUUUCCGUUUAAAGUACAAAUCACGACUAACAAGUUCGAUGGAAGAGGUACAUGUAUGUGUGUGUGUGUGUGUGUGUGUGUGUGUUGCAUAUAUUAGUGUAUGUGUAAAUACAAUUUCCACGAACGAUAGAGCAUGCACUGGGCCUAAACCGAACAUAAAGAAUGCAAGUACAUAAGUGCACUGUUUUAUGUCAGAAGAAGGGCCGUUUCCUUACAUUAAGUUGAAAGUUACAAAUUCGACCGUUUCCUUCAUUUCUCGUGAGAACAAUGAAAACAAUUAUUCGUCACAUAGUUGUGUGACAUAAUCUCCGAACAUAAUCAAAACGAUCCUGAUAAAUUUUUUCACAAUUAAUUAUUUAAUAUUAUAACGUAAUCAUAAAAUUGUAGGCAUUGUUAAUAAA